rnacentral:rRNA from 1 species
AGCGGCGGAUGAGUGAGUAACACGUGGGGAACCUGCCCCUAAGUCUGGGAUACCAUUUGGAAACAGGUGCUAAUACCGGAUAAUAAAGCAGAUCGCAUGAUCAGCUUUUGAAAGGCGGCGUAAGCUGUCGCUAAGGGAUGGCCCCGCGGUGCAUUAGCUAGUUGGUAAGGUAACGGCUUACCAAGGCGACGAUGCAUAGCCGAGUUGAGAGACUGAUCGGCCGCAUUGAGACUGAGACACGGCCCAAACUCCUACGGGAGGCAGCAGUAGGGAAUCUUCCACAAUGGACGCAAGUCUGAUGGAGCAACGCCGCGUGAGUGAAGAAGGUUUUCGGAUCGUAAAGCUCUGUUGUUGGUGAAGAAGGAUAGAGGUAGUAACUGGCCUUUAUUUGACGGUAAUCAACCAGAGAGUCACGGCUAACUACGUGCCAGCAGCCGCGGUAAUACGUAGGUGGCAAGCGUUGUCCGGAUUUAUUGGGCGUAAAGCGAGCGCAGGCGGAAAAAUAAGUCUAAUGUGAAAGCCCUCGGCUUAACCGAGGAACUGCAUCGGAAACUGUUUUUCUUGAGUGCAGAAGAGGAGAGUGGAACUCCAUGUGUAGCGGUGGAAUGCGUAGAUAUAUGGAAGAACACCAGUGGCGAAGGCGGCUCUCUGGUCUGCAACUGACGCUGAGGCUCGAAAGCAUGGGUAGCGAACAGGAUUAGAUACCCUGGUAGUUCAUGCCGUAAACGAUGAGUGCUAAGUGU